UACGUAGGGUGCAAGCGUUGUCCGGAAUUAUUGGGCGUAAAGAGCUCGUAGGCGGUCUGUCACGUCGGCUGUGAAAACCUGGGGCUCAACUCCGGGCCUGCAACCGAUACGGGCAGACUAGAGUUCGGCAGGGGAGACUGGAAUUCCUGGUGUAGCGGUGAAAUCCGUAGAUAUUGGAAAGAACACCGGCCGCGAAGGAGUUUCACUGGCUCAUUACUGACGCUCAGGGACGAGAGCUAGGGGAGCAAACGGG
rnacentral:rRNA from 1 species